UUUCUGACCCUGUGUGGCAGGUAGGCCCAUCAGGUUUCCCAAGGUAAAUUAUAGAGUCACGAUCACAAUCAAGAAAGAUGUCAUGGACAUUGAUGAAAUUCUUGGAGGUUUCUCCCUUUGUCCACAAAGACGAACGUGACCGACUGUAAAAUGUUGCCUUUCGACAGGAAAUGGUUGUAGCUAAUGCAUCCCUGUUCACAAAGCCUUGCAUUAAUAUGGCUCCUGUGUCAAUAUUUUGAGCUAUAGCCACUGCCAAACCUUUGUCGUCCCAUUUUACACUGUCUAACAAUGUCUCAACCUUGGAUU
rnacentral:misc_RNA from 1 species